AUGUCUCUUGCCUCGCUCGGUCUGCCGUUUCCCCUCGGCUAAUCUUGAGCUGGAUGCAGCCGGUCACUUUUAGUGCUGGCUUGUACGAGACAAGAAGAAGCGUGAAAACGCGUCGACGCUUUUUGAGUACGAUUUGAUCCGCAAUGCACCACGGGUCUACGUCGUAAUUUAUCAGUUGGGACAAAC
rnacentral:snoRNA from 1 species